ACCGCAUGGCCCAAGAUUCCAUUCCUUGGAAUCUGUGAGGCCAAGAACCCCAGGUCAGAGACCACAAGGCUUGCAACAAUCUUGGAAGUGGCCCGCUGCCAUUUUGGAAGCGGCCCGCCACCAUCUUGGGAGCUCGGGGAGCAAGGACCCCCUGGUAACAUUUUGGCAACCCAGAUGGGACCUCCAAAGCGAUGGGAAAUGUUCCCCCCAAGGCAAAAACACCCCUAAGAUGUAUUCUGGAGAACUGGGACCAAUUUGACCCUCAGACGCUAAGAAAGAAAUGACUUAUAUUCUUCUGCAGUACCACCUGGCCAUGAUAUCCUCUUCAAGGGGGAGAAACCUGGUCUUCUGAGGGAAGUAUAAAUUAUAACACCAUCUUGCAACUAGACCUCCUUUGUAGAAAAGAAGGCAAAUGGAGUGAAGUGGCAUAUGUACAAACUUUCUUUUCAUUAAGAGACAACUCGCAAUUA